rnacentral:rRNA from 1 species
GACGAACGCUGGCGGCGUGCUUAACACAUGCAAGUCGAACGGAAAGGCCCUGCUUUUGUGGGGUGCUCGAGUGGCGAACGGGUGAGUAACACGUGAGUAACCUGCCCUUGACUUUGGGAUAACUUCAGGAAACUGGGGCUAAUACCGGAUAGGAGCUCCUGCUGCAUGGUGGGGGUUGGAAAGUUUCGGCGGUUGGGGAUGGACUCGCGGCUUAUCAGCUUGUUGGUGGGGUAGUGGCUUACCAAGGCUUUGACGGGUAGCCGGCCUGAGAGGGUGACCGGCCACAAUGGGACUGAGAGAAGGACCAGACGCCUACGGGAGGCAGCAGGGGGGAAUAUUGCAAAAUGGGUGGAAGCCUGAUGCAGCAACGCCGUGGGCGGGAUGACGGCCUUCGGGUUGUAAACCGCUUUCGCUCAUGACGAAGCUUUGUGUGACGGUAGUGGGUAAAGAAGCACCGGCUAACUACGUG